rnacentral:rRNA from 1 species
UACGUAGGGUGCAAGCGUUGCCCGGAUUUAUUGGGCGUAAAGGGCGCGUAGGCUGCGGGGCAAGUCGGGUGUGAAAUCUCAGAGCUCAACUCUGAAACUGCACUCGAUACUGCUUUGCUUGAGGACUGGAGAGGAGAUUGGAAUUCACGGUGUAGCAGUGAAAUGCGUAGAUAUCGUGAGGAAGACCAGUGGCGAAGGCGGAUCUCUGGACAGUUCCUGACGCUGAGGCACGAAGGCCAGGGGAGCAAACGGG